rnacentral:tRNA from 1 species
GCCGAAGUGGUGGAACUGGUAGGCACACCGGACUGGCACUCCGGCGGCUCAUAUCUCACCUAUGGCCGUGAGGGUUCGAGUCCCUCCUUCGGCACCA